AUGAGGAGAGAUAAUGAGAACAUUAUGCCUUAGUUCAUCCUCCUGGGGCUCCCCAUUCUAGUAGAGGACCAAGCUGUGUACUUGUUUCUGACCAUGUACCUGACAACUGUGCUGGGGAACCUGCCCAUCAUCCUGCUUAUCAGGCUGGACUCUCACAUCCACACCCCUUUGUACUUCUUUCUCAGCCACUUGGUCUUCACGGACAACUGUUCCACAUCAGUCAGAAUUCCAAACAUACUUUUGAAUAUGCUGACAGUCAGCCCAUCUUAUAUGCUUGGUGCCUUUCUCAGAUAUAUAUAUAUA
rnacentral:lncRNA from 1 species